CGCGACCCCAGGUCAGGCGAGAUAACCGAUGA
rnacentral:rRNA from 1 species